rnacentral:rRNA from 1 species
CGCGUGGGAAUCUACCCAGUAGUGGGGACGAACAGUUGGAAACGAACUGCUAAUACCGCAUACGCCCUACCGGGGAAAGGACAGGGGAGUCUUCGGUACCGUUCGUUGCUAUUGGUAUGAGCCCGCCGUGAGAUUAGAUAGUUGGUGGGGUAAGUGGCCUACCAAGUCGACGAUCUCUAGCUGGUCUGAGAGGAUGAUCAGCCACACUGGAACUGAGACACGGUCCAGACUCCUACGGGAGGCAGCAGUGGGGAAGUAAUUGCACAAUGGGCGAAAGCCUGAUGCAGCCAUGCCGCGUGU